UACGAAGGGGGCUAGCGUUGCUCGGAAUCACUGGGCGUAAAGCACACGUAGGCGGACUCUUAAGUCGGUGGUGAAAUCCUGGAGCUCAACUCCAGAACUGCCUUCGAUACUGAGAGUCUCGAGUCCGGGAGAGGUGAGUGGAACUGCGAGUGUAGAGGUGAAAUUCGUAGAUAUUCGCAAGAACACCAGUGGCGAAGGCGGCUCACUGGCCCGGUACUGACGCUGAGGUGCGAAAGCGUGGGGAGCAAACAGG
rnacentral:rRNA from 1 species